AUUGAACGCUGGCGGCAGGCCUAACACAUGCAAGUCGAACGGUAACAGGAAACAGCUUGCUGUUUCGCUGACGAGUGGCGGACGGGUGAGUAAUGUCUGGGAAACUGCCUGAUGGAGGGGGAUAUCUACUGGAAACGGUAGCUAAUACCGCAUAACGUCGCAAGACCAAAGAGGGGGACCUUCGGGCCUCUUGCCAUCGGAUGUGCCCAGAUGGGAUUAGCUAGUAGGUGGGGUAACGGCGCACCUAGGCGACGAUCCCUAGCUGGUCUGAGAGGAUGACCAGCCACACUGGAACUGAGACACGGUCCAGACUCCUACGGGAGGCAGCAGUGGGGAAUAUUGCACAAUGGGCGCAAGCCUGAUGCAGCCAUGCCGCGUGUAUGAAGAAGGCCUUCGGGUUGUAAAGUACGUUCAGCGGGGAGGAAGGGAGUAAAGUUAAUACCUUUGCUCAUUGACGUUACCCGCAGAAGAAGCACCGGCUAACUCCGUGCCAGCCGCCGCAGUAA
rnacentral:rRNA from 1 species